rnacentral:rRNA from 1 species
CCUACGGGAGGCAGCAGUAGGGAAUUUUGCGCAAUGGGGGAAACCCUGACGCAGCAACGCCGCGUGAUCGAUGAAGCCCUUCGGGGUGUAAAGAUCUGUCAGUGGGGACGAAACCUGACGGUACCCACAGAGGAAGCACCGGCUAACUCCGGGCCAGCAGCCGCGGUAAUACGGAGGAUGCGAGCGUUAUCCGGAUUUAUUGGGUUUAAAGGGUGCGCAGGCGGAUUUUUAAGUCAGCGGUCAAAUCGUGGGGCUCAACCCCAUCCAGCCGUUGAAACUGGGGAUCUGGAGUGUGCGAGAGGUAUGCGGAAUGCGUGGUGUAGCGGUGAAAUGCAUAGAUAUCACGCAGAACCCCGAUUGCGAAGGCAGCAUACCGGUGCACAACUGACGCUCAGGCACGAAAGCGUGGGUAUCGAACAGGAUUAGAUACCCCUGUAGUC